GGGCGCGUAGCUCAGUUGGUAGAGCAGCUGACUCUUAAUCAGCGGGUCGCGGGUUCGAAGCCUGCCGCGCCCA
rnacentral:tRNA from 1 species